ensembl:lncRNA
GAGCAAGAAGACGGGUUUGAAUGCAAGAGCAUUCUCUACUUGGAAACACACCCAGAAUGAAAAUGCUUUUCAUCACUCAUCUCUCCAACAACUGUUGAAAACAGCAUAAUCCGCUAACACAGAAAAGCUAAAUUGCUUUCAGACCAAGUACUGAAAAACUGCUUCUGUGAUUUGGUUCGGCUCAAAUCCAGAACGCAGGCUUUGACAGCUCUUGUGCUUCCUGGCUGCUUGGAGCAUCUGUCAAAGUUUAUCUUUUCCCCUAGUUUGCUUUUCUCUAGUGUAAAACUAGAGAUGUAAAAUCUUAACCCCUCUCCCCCCAGAUUAGUGGUUUUGAAAUAUGCAUUUUAAGUACACCAGAUGUUUAAAUAAUAGCAGUGCACUGGAAAUACAGACUUCUAAAUUACAUUGCAGUGGUGCUAUGGGCUGAGUCUGGGCAGGAGAAGCAAAGCUUCAGAGCAAGGUGAAGCACAUGCUACAAUUCCUUAAGCCUGGAGCAUUUUCAGUGUACUAAAACCUGUAUUAAUCAGAAGGAAAGCACUGAAAGGAUGUUUAAUCUCAUGCACUCUUUCCUUGUUCCUAAGUAGAGAGGAGGUAUUUCAUCACUGGUACAGUUACAACAAAAGCAGGGCAAUUGCAUCAGAGGAGAAUUUGGCCCAACUACUUCUCUGUAGAGAAGCUAUUGACAGCUGUCCCCAGGUACCUCGUGUUGCUGAGAAAACAGCAAGCUAAAAACAUGCCAUAAUAGAACUAGCUCCCAUUUUCUGACCUUUGGCUGAACCAGAGCUCCUAGAUUUGGAUGAUGCUUUACCUCUCUGUUACACUUCUGAUCACCAUCAGGUUUUGUUCAGUGAUCCAUCUGAAAACAUCUUCCUACCCGGGGAGCUAUGCAGCUACGCUUGCUAUGGCUGUUGCAGCUUGGAGCCACUGAGCAGUGUGCUUGCUGGGAUGCAGCAUCUUAGCUAAUUUUAGAUGUGAUGCAAUGAGUGGGGGUAGCUCACACGAGGCGGGAGGGAUGGAGCCCAGCAGCCAGCGCUCAGAACAAACACUUUAUAGUUACUGAAUGCUACUUUCAAACUAAGGGAGGCUUUUUUACUACCAGAGCACCUUUACGGAUGUGAUUGGAUACACAAGUGGUAGCUAGGACAAACCCUUCUGGGGAAGGAUAUUAGAUAAGGGUCAAUCACCAGGCUUGCUGCCCUCAGAGCUCCUGCCUUUCAGCCUUCCCCCCAAUCUCUUCCCCCUCUGAUGUUCCCGACUGGAAUGCUCUCGCUGCUCUGACAUGCAGACUGGCUUUUUUUCUGCAUGGGCACCUUUUCCUACCCCUCAUUCAAGCACUCACAGAGAUAUGGCUUAAGUCAAGUGGUUGCUUCUCUCACACUUGGUUUUCUCAACAACCUCCUGCGCCCCUUGCACAAGCCAGACUGUGAUACUCACAGAGCCAGCCUGCUCACAAACAAAUGUAUGCACAGAAUCUAUAAAUUAAUAGAAAGCAGCUCUACCUCUAGGGAAGUCUUUGCUUGCCAGAGGGGUGACCUAUCCUGACUGGUGUCCUGGCUCUGAUGCUGUGUGGGAUUGAAUCACAGGUUACACGGCCUGCUCCUCCUGGCUGACAUCUUGCUAAGAGAUCACAGACUGUUGGUGGUGGUUCACUUUGCAUCAUGCUUUAGGUUUGGAUGUUUCAAGGAGAAUUGAAGUCUUUCACUGGCAUUAGAACCUCAGCUUGGAAUGUGUUUUCCGUGGUCAGUCUAUCUCCCCAUCCACCAAAUUCCACCCACUUUUUUUGUCCACUGUCUUUAAAUAGUUAUUUGCAGAUGUUUUACUGCUGGCAAACCUUUGUCAAUAAAUCAUAAUUUAAAAACACAAA